rnacentral:lncRNA from 12 species
CCCCCCCCCCCCCCCCCCCCCCCCCCCCCCCCCCCCCCCCCCCCCCCCCCCCCCCCCCCCCCCUUUUUAGGAAUUCUCUCAUUUCCAAGGCACAAAAUCCCGGUGGGUUUUUAGGAUUUCAGCGACAUCAACACAACCCAAGAGCAAUUUCCUAGGAAUUCUCUCACUCCCGAGGCACCAAAACCCGGUGGUUUUUUUUAGGAAUUCUGCACUGUGGACACAGCCCAGGACACAUCCAGGAAUAUUCAGGUUUUUCAGGAAUUCUCUCAUUUCCAAGACACGAGUGAAUUUUAGGAAUUUCAUCAACAUCCCAAGACACGAGCCAGGAACACUCUGGGAAUUCUUUUCU